CGGCGAAGUGAAGCGGCAAAAGCUCAAAUUUGAAAUCUGGCGCCUUCGGUGUCCGAGUUGUAAUUUGAAGAUUGUAACCUUGGGGUUGGCUCUUGUCUAUGUUUCUUGGAACAGGACGUCACAGAGGGUGAGAAUCCCGUGCGAUGAGAUGCCCAAUCCUAUGUAAGGUGCUUUCGAAGAGUCGAGUUGUUUGGGAAUGCAGCUCUAAGUGGGUGGUAAAUUCCAUCUAAAGCUAAAUAUUGGCGAGAGACCGAUAGCGAACAAGUACAGUGAUGGAAAGAUGAAAAGAACUUUGAAAAGAGAGUGAAAAAGUACGUGAAAUUGUUGAAAGGGAAGGGUUUGAGAUCAGACUCGAUAUUUUGUGAGCCUUGCCUUCGUGGCGGGGUGACCCGCAGCUUAUCGGGCCAGCAUCGGUUUGGGCGGUAGGAUAAUGGCGUAGGAAUGUGACUUUACUUCGGUGAAGUGUUAUAGCCUGCGUUGAUGCUGCCUGCCUAGACCGAGGACUGCGAUUUUAUCAAGGAUGCUGGCAUAAUGAUCCCAAACCGCCCGU
rnacentral:rRNA from 1 species